rnacentral:rRNA from 1 species
AGCAGCCGCGGUAAUUCCAGCUCCAAUAGCGUAUAUUAAAGUUGUUGCAGUUAAAAAGCUCGUAGUUGAAUUUCGGGAUUGACGUGAUGGUCAUGCCUUAAGGGGUAUGAACUGUUACAGUUGAUUUCUCACCUUCUGGAGAAACUUGAUGUCCUUUAUUGGGUGUCUUGCGGAUCCAGGACCUUUACCUUGAAAAAAAUUAGAGUGUUUAAAGCAGGCAUUUUUGCUCGAAUACAUUAGCAUGGAAUAAUAGAAUAGGACGGCAUGGUUCUAUUUUGUUGGUUUCUAGGAUCACCGUAAUGAUUAAUAGGGAUAGUUGGGGGCAUUAGUAUUCAAUUGUCAGAGGUGAAAUUCUUGGAUUUAUUGAAGACUAACUACUGCGAAAGCAUUUGCCAAGGAUGUUUUCAUUAAUCAAGAACGAAAGUUAGGGGAUCGAAGACGAUCAGAUACCGUCGUAGUCUUAACCAUAAACUAUGCCGACUAGGAAUCAGACGAUGUUAAUUUUUAAUGACUCGUUUGG